AAGAGACGUUGCCCUUCGGGGUAUACCUCCCACCCUUUGUUUAUAUACCUUUGUUGCUUUGGCGGGCCCGUCCUCGGACCACCGGCUUCUGCUGGUCAGUGCCCGCCAGAGGACCUAAAACUCUGUUUGUUAAUAUUGUCUGAGUACUAUAUAAUAGUUA
rnacentral:misc_RNA from 1 species